AUGAAUUCUUUUACACGUACUCUCAGGCAGGUUUUUGUACGGCCAGUAGAUCAGACUGAAUCACUGUGUCUCUUCUUUGGUGGCGGCAGUAAACUUGAUGUUGGAAGAGACACGCGCCCCACCCUGACGGUCCUGCGCCCCGCCAGCGCGGAGCUGUCCAGUGGGGGAGGGGUGACGGUGGUGUGCCUGGCCAGCGGGGGCUUCCCCUCGGGCUGGGCGCUGGGCUGGAGGGUGGGGAGCAGCAGCAGGGGGGUGGGGGUGAGCGGGGGCACGGGGGUCCUGCAGCGGGACGGCCUGUACAGCUUCAGCAGCGUCCUCACCCUCUCUGCGGCCGAGUGGGAGAAGGGCGACGCCCUCACCUGUGAGGCCACCCUGUCUGGCCACGCCCCCGUCACCCAGACGCUGACGAGAGAAGAGUGCUGAGAGUGAAGCCUGAGGAGGGGCUACUGCAGCCUGCCCUGCCCCACCCUAAAGCACCCUGCCCCGCCCUGCCCCACCCCGCCAUGCCCCGCCCUGCCACGCCCUAAAGCACCCUGCAUUACCCCAUCCUGCCCAACCCUGCACCUCCCUGCCCUGCCCCACCCCACCCCACCCCACCCUAUCCCUGCCAUGCCCUGCCCCUCCCUGCCCCGCCCUGCCAUACUCAAAUUUUUAUUCUGUUUAUACCAGCAUUGCUGUCUUUCACUCUAGCAGACCUGCUUAUUGUUCUUCAUCUCUUUAAUAAAGACUCAUAAGGAUCAUAA